AAUCUUGGACAAUGGGCGCAAGCCUGAUCCAGCCAUGCCGCGUGAGUGAUGAAGGCCCUAGGGUCGUAAAGCUCUUUCGCCUGUGAAGAUAAUGACGGUAGCAGGUAAAGAAACCCCGGCUAACUCCGUGCCAGCAGCCGCGGUAAUACGGAGGGGGUUAGCGUUGUUCGGAAUUACUGGGCGUAAAGCGCACGUAGGCGGACUAGUAAGUAAGAGGUGAAAUCCCAGGGCUCAACCCUGGAACUGCCUUUUAAACUGCUAAUCUAGAGAUCGAGAGAGGUGAGUGGAAUUCCAAGUGUAGAGGUGAAAUUCGUAGAUAUUUGGAGGAACACCAGUGGCGAAGGCGGCUCACUGGCUCGAUACUGACGCUGAGGUGCGAAAGCGUGGGGAGCAAACGGGAUUAGAUACCCUGGUAGUCCACGCCGUA
rnacentral:rRNA from 1 species